UAUUCUUCCUUUAAAAUCAUUUAAAUUAUCUUAAUUGUAAAAAGACAAUUCUAUUAUAGAAGACCCUAUCGAACUUUACUUUAGUUUAACUGGGGUAGUUAGUUAAUUAUUACUUUAAUAUUAUUAAAUAUUCAAUUUGACCUAAUAUAAUUAAAAAUAUAAUUAAGUUACCGUAGGGAUAACAGCGUAAUAAAAUUUUUAAGAAUUCAUUUAAAAUAAAGAUUGCGACCUCGAUGUUGAUUUAAUAUCCUGAUAUAACACAAUAGUUAAUUAAGGAAGUCUGUUCGACUUUUAAAAAAUUACAUGAUUUGAGUUCAGACCGGUGUAAACCAGGUCAAGC
rnacentral:rRNA from 1 species